rnacentral:rRNA from 1 species
UUUAAAAGCACUUUGAAAAGAGAGUGAAAAGAACCUGAAACCGCUAGGGGGGAAGCGAUUUGCGCUAAUAUGUGAGAAAAGUGUCGAUCAGUGGGUGAUUCCGCGUACUCUGCACUUUUUCUCUGCCAUUGUGGGCUUGUGGCUAGCGGAUUUUGCGCUGCUGCAGGCCGAGGGAUCCCUUUUAUAGGUGACGACGAUGGAUUUUUUGGCGCGAAUCGACCCGUCUUGAAACACGGACCAAGGAGUCUAGCGUACUUGCGAGUCAAAGGGUGUGAAAACCUGAGGGCGCAGUGAAAGCGAAUCUAUUUAAAAUGGUGCAAUUUGAGGCGGCAUACGAUCGUUGAUUGUAAGUCCGACCUAGAGCAGAUAUGCUAGGACCCGAAAGAUGGUGAACUAUGCUUGAGUAGGGCGAAGCCAGAGGAAACUCUGGUGGAGGCUCGUAGCGGUGCUGACGUGCAAAUCGCUCGUCAAACUUGAGUAUAGGGGCGAAAGACUAAUCGAACCAUCUAGUAGCUGGUUUCCUCCGAAGUUUCUCUCAGGAUAGCAGGCCCAAAUAUUAUGAUUGUUGUGUGU